AUUCCUUCAGGUCCCUGUUCAGGCACCACUUGCCAUGGGCAGCCAGCAUCUGGGGAGUGCUUCAGGGAGGCGCUGAAAAG
rnacentral:miRNA from 1 species